GUGCUCACUUCGGCAGCACAUAUACUAAAAUUGGAACGAUACAGAGAGGAUUAGCAUGGCCCCUGUGCAAGGAUGACAUGCAAAUUUGUGAAGUGUUCCAUAUUUAA
ensembl:snRNA U6 U6 spliceosomal RNA